rnacentral:rRNA from 1 species
CUACGGAGGGUGCAAGCGUUAAUCGGAAUUACUGGGCGUAAAGCGUGCGUAGGCGGUUUAUUAAGUCAGAUGUGAAAGCCCCGGGCUUAACCUGGGAACUGCAUUUGAUACUGGUAGACUAGAGUAUGGUAGAGGGGGGUAGAAUUCCUAGUGUAGCGGUGAAAUGCGUAGAUAUUAGGAGGAAUACCAGUGGCGAAGGCGGCCCCCUGGACCAAUACUGACGCUGAGGUACGAAAGCGUGGGGAGCGAACAGGAUUAGAUACCCUAGUAGUCC